GAUGAACGCUGGCGGCGUGCCUAAUACAUGCAAGUCGAGCGAACGGACGAGAAGCUUGCUUCUCUGAUGUUAGCGGAGGACGGGUGAGUAACACGUGGAUAACCUACCUAUCAGACUGGGAUAACUUCGGGAAACCGGAGCUAAUACCGGAGAAUCUUUUGAACCGCAUGGUUCAAAGGUGAAAGACGGUCUUGCUGUCACUUAUAGAUGGAUCCGCGCUGCAUUAGCUAGUUGGUAAGGUAACGGCUUACCAAGGCAACGAUGCAUAGCCGACCUGAGAGGGUGAUAGGCCACACUAGAGCUGGGACGCGGACAUGGGGCCUAAGGGAGGCAGCAGUAGGGAAUGGUACGCAAUGGGCGAGAGCAUGACGGAGCAAGGCCGCGUGAGUGAUGGAGGUCUUCGGAUCGUAAAACUCUGUUAUGAGGGAAGAACAUAUGUGGAAGGAACUGUACACAGCUUGACGGUACCGAAUCAGAAAGCAACGGCUAACUACGUG
rnacentral:rRNA from 1 species